rnacentral:lncRNA from 1 species
AUGACUGUGUUCAUCCGGCUCUCCCACCUGCUGCUAACCAUAGCUCCGUGGACUCACUACCUCAAGACACACCUGGACCACCUGAGAAUGUGGGAGGGCAUGGCAUCAGUCACCCCACUCAGCUUUUCCACCACACCUGUGCUGCUGUGUCUCAGUGACACUUUGCUCCCUCUGUUUGGUCCUGGUCAGUCUCUGCUGGACACCCAGAUGUCCUUGGCAUGUAUACCUCAAUGGAAUCCAGUUCAUCUCCAAUCUGUCAGAAGACAUCAUAGGUGGUUCGGCUCCUUAUGUCCAAAGUCUGCACAAAAAAUAUACCUUGUGUGGAGGAAAAUGAGAUCCCGAGUGAAGUCUACAAUGUCAUUGACUCUGAAGAAGGACUCAGAGACCUAUUGGUGUUUAAUGACCCUUACUGGCCUAUGCAAUGGGAACUGGUAUGAUCUUCCGAAAUAGAUCUUUGGCAAUGUUAAAGAAAUAUUAUUUUCGUCAUGUUUUAAUGCAGUAGACAGAUACUUUUAUGCACUGCCUGCUUUUAUCUAUUGAUUUUGUAGAGAAAGACUCAGCAAACUUUUUAGAAAUAUUACUGCCAGCUUAUUAAUGAGCACUAAUCCUUUUAAUUUGAUUGCAUCCUUAGGGUUUGAUUUAUGUCUAUAAAAUGUUCUACUUUAAAAAAAAACCCUAAGAUAUUUAAAUUUGGUUGUACAAGCAGACUCAUUACAUAGAAAUGUUAUGGCAGUUCAGGAUUGAAGUUUUUGUUCUAGCAUAACUCUGAAUAUAUUCCAUACUGCAUUGAUAGUAUAGAACUCACCUUUGUCUUUGUGUAUUAAGCAGAUGUUAGAACAUUGCAUGAGAAACUUUAUCCAUAAUGCUUAUUUAGUUGGACCUCUUAGAACAGCAUAACCUUGUCAUCUAUAUAAGACUGUGAUAUUGAAAAAGUCUAUAAAAUAUAGAUAUAAUUUUUAGUAUAGUAUGUCCUAAAAAGUUCUCAAGGAUACAAAUGUGUUUAAAGGAAAAUAUUUCGAAUGUAAAAAUCAGUUGGUGAUAAUUUUAGAAUUUGAAGACCUUGUUCUAUCCAUACUUAGUUUUUCAUAGGUCUGUAAUUAUUCUGUGUUGUAGCAGAUCCAAGGAUGUUAAAUGGAAAAAAAGGUCAAAUGUGUUUUAUCAUUUUAAUGGAUAUAAUGAGGUGAAAAGUGGGAAACUAUUGUGUUGGCUCAUUUGAAUGUUGGUCAUUGGCAGUUACUAAUCCUACUCUCUGAAAUGAAUUGAAAACCCAUACUGGAAAAUGUCCAGUUCAAUUUUCUGUAAUUUCAACUUUAAAAAAUGAAACAUGACUUACAAAACUGAACACUAUCUGUGACUAAAUUUGACAAUUCAAACAAACAAACAAAAACCUACUCAAUCAGCAAAACUUUGAAUAUUGCUUCAAUUACUUGGAGGUAAAAUAAUCAUUAAAAAGUGAGUGGAUUGGAGUCAAUUAGGAAUGUGAAAGUCAAAGAGAGAAAUAGCGAAAUUAAGAAGAUGGUGUGAAAGAAGGUAAUUAGAUAAGGAAAGAGGAGAUGAAAUAAGGGGGGGACUAUUUUCUUUUGUUUGUUGGGUUUUUGACCUGAAUGGCAAGAUGAAUAUUUGAAGACUGCAUGUAUCAAAAAUUGUAAUUAGUCACUUCAAGGGGAAUACUUCUUUAUAUUGACAAUAAAAUGUUAAGCCUCUGUACA